AUGAGAACUAAGGGUGGUAGCCUUGGCUACUACUCUGAACACUCCACCCUUUGUUUACAUUACCUUUGUUGCUUUAGCAGGCCCGCCUUUGGGCCGCCGGCACCUGCUGGUCAGCGCCUGCUAGAGAACCUAAAACUCUUGUUAAUAAUAUUGUCUGAGUACUAUAUAAUAGUUAGAA
rnacentral:misc_RNA from 1 species